AAACACUGUGUCCCUGGAAAAAUGUACCAGAGCCCUAAGAAUCUUGAUUUCUUAAAUGAGGUCCUGAGCACCACUUCUCAUUCCAUUCCUCCCACUCAUCCAUUAGUGAAUGCUUAGUGUGUACCAGGUGACACAAGAGCCUAAACAGAUCCCAAAAUGAUGUGAACUCUACAGUAUCACCUUAGUGCUAUCCGGAGGCUCCUGAACAACCUAAGUCAUUCCUUAUUCAGACUGCAAAUCUGAAAGUACAGCUUCUUUGGAAAGUGUUCCCUUAGUAACCUCGUAUACCCUUCUGAACUUCAGUGUUCAAGCCUAAACACUUGACAAUUCUGAUUCAUUGAGAAGCAGAAAGUCAAAAGGAAUAGUAAAAUAUUAUCUAUCAAGAACAAUUAAAUCCAGUUUAGAUGAUUUCAAGACUGAACUUCAACUCUAGCUAGAUUAUAUGUUGCUUAAUUAACAAUUAAGAAUAAUAUGCAGCUUAACAAAACAUUAAUGAAAAAUUUAUCAUUUUUUUCUCUCAAAUUCCUUUUCAUAUCUAAUACUUGGACAAGAAGCAAAAUAGAGUGGCAUAAGGUUUAUCAGUUACUUAUUAUCAGACGAAUGCUGAACCUGAAAAUUUAUUGUUACACAAAAUAGGACAUAUUUAAUAUAUUUAUCUCUAAAUGUUUCCUUUACUCAGAGAAGAUGCUUAUAAAACUUUUCCCAUAAUGGCACAGGUCGGAAACUUUCUUUGUGUGGCAGACUGAUUUAAAUUGAUGAAGCAUCUCAUAGCCAAAAGAAGUGACCUCCAGGGCUGAGGGUUUCCAUGUAGCACAUUCAUGUUUGAAAGCCCUAAUCUAGGAAGUGAGAGAAAAACACAGUAUAGUGGUCCUGAGCUCAUCUCUAAAAUCCACUACAUUGUUAAGUACUUAGCCAUAAGAGCUCACUGCCCUUUAGUUUCUUCACUUAUCAAAGGGGACUGAAAACUCUGUAUCAUGGGGUUAGGUCAUCCCUGUAGGCAAGUGCUUGGAAUUGUGACUCAGAGCUGGAACUCUAAAGAGGUUAGCUGUUAUAUUGUAUUCAUACCCUUGUACUUUCCAAAAAAGAGACUAACAGUAAACCAGACCAGAUAGCUACAGUGGAACAGAGAGGCACUCAACUUCCCAAGAGUGAGGGUCCAUGGUCUACUCCAAGAAAUAGAAGAAAAGCCAUGUGCAUAGGCUACAGACAAGGAAGACUUCCCCCAGUUGGCUUCAAAGUGCUCUGUAAUGGAGCCUUCCAGGCAUCAAGACAACCAGGCUGGGCGCUCUGCAGCCUGGCCUCUGUAGGCUCCCAUCUGCCAGAGCUGGCUCACAGAGAGCACAGCAAGGGGAACAGGAUGCUCAGCCACCAACUUUCUCUCAGAGUCCAGGCGUGUUCUCCUCUUUCAGCUCGAAAUGUCUGAACCACAUGAUUUUCAUUUCUUUCAGCUUUAAAACAUUUUGUUUAAAAUUGAACAAACUAACUUUAAAUAAAUUCUACUGAAGUGCACACACUGAAA